GAUGAACGCUAGCGGCGUGCCUAACACAUGCAAGUCGAGCGGUAUAUAGUGGAAUGAAACUUCGGUCGAGUGAAGCUAUAGAGAGCGGCGGACGGGUGAGUAACGCGUAGGCAACCUGCCCCAUACAGAGGGAUAGCCUCGGGAAACCGGGAUUAAAACCUCAUAACGCGAGGAGUUCACAUGGACUUCUCGCCAAAGAUUCAUCGGUAUGGGAUGGGCCUGCGUCUGAUUAGCUAGUUGGUGAGGUAACGGCUCACCAAGGCGACGAUCAGUAGCCGACCUGAGAGGGUAAUCGGCCACAUUGGAACUGAGACACGGUCCAGACUCCUACGGGAGGCAGCAGUGGGGAAUAUUGCACAAUGGGCGAAAGCCUGAUGCAGCAACGCCGCGUGAGCGAUGAAGGCCUUUGGGUCGUAAAGCUCUGUCCUUGGGGAAGAAACAAAUGACGGUACCCUUGGAGGAAGCCCCGGCUAACUACGUGCCAGCAG
rnacentral:rRNA from 1 species